rnacentral:rRNA from 1 species
GACGAACGCUGGCGGCGUGCUUAACACAUGCAAGUCGAACGGAAAGGCCCCUUUGGGGGUACUCGAGUGGCGAACGGGUGAGUAACACGUGAGUAACCUGCCCUUGACUUCGGGAUAACUUCAGGAAACUGGGGCUAAUACCGGAUAGGAAUCCUUGCUGCAUGGUGGGGGUUGGAAAGCUUCGGCGGUUUUGGAUGGACUCGCGGCUUAUCAGCUUGUUGGUGGGGUAGUGGCUUACCAAGGCUUUGACGGGUAGCCGGCCUGAGAGGGCGACCGGCCACAUUGGGCCUGAGAUCCGGCCCGGCCUCCUACGGGAGGAAGCAGUGGGGAUUAUGGCCCAUUGGGCGGAAGCUUGUGGCGGAACCCCCGCGGGCGGAAUAACGGCUUCGGGGUGUAAACCGGUUUCCGCAAGGGCGAAGCUUGUGGUGACGGUACCUGCAGAAGAAGCACCGGCUAACUACGUG